rnacentral:tRNA from 1 species
GCCGCUGUGGUGGAACGGUAGACACGGGGGACUUAAAAUCCCCUGCCCUCACGGGCUUCUCGGUUCGAUUCCGAGCAGCGGCACCA